GUGCUCGCUUCGGCAGCACAUAUACUAAAAUUGGAAUGAUGCAGAGAAGAUUAGCAUGGCCCCUGCACAAGGAUGACAUGAAGUUUGUGAAGCGUUCGAUAUUUAA
ensembl:snRNA U6 U6 spliceosomal RNA